rnacentral:rRNA from 1 species
GACGAACGCUGGCGGCGUGCUUAACACAUGCAAGUCGAACGGAAAGGCCCUGCUUUUGUGGGGUGCUCGAGUGGCGAACGGGUGAGUAACACGUGAGUAACCUGCCCUUGACUUUGGGAUAACUUCAGGAAACUGGGGCUAAUACCGGAUAGGAGCUCCUGCUGCAUGGUGGGGGUUGGAAAGUUUCGGCGGUUGGGGAUGGACUCGCGGCUUAUCAGCUUGUUGGUGGGGUAGUGGCUUACCAAGGCUUUGACGGGUAGCCGGCCUGAGAGGGUGACCGGCCAAAUUGGGACUGAGAUACGGCCCAGACUCCUCCGGGAGGCAGCAGUGGGGAAUGUUGCACGAUGGGCGGAAGCCUGGUGCAGCAACGCAGCGUGCGGGAUGACGGCCUUCGGGUUGUAAACCGCAUUCGCCUGAGACGAAGCGUGAGUGACGGUAAUGGGUAAAGAAGCACCGGCUAACUACGUG